ACAAACUUGGUCAUUUAGAGGAAGUAAAAGUCGUAACAAGGUUUCCGUAGGUGAACCUGCGGAAGGAUCAUUGUAGAAAUUUCAGCAGGGUUAACACCCUGCAAUUACUACAUUAUACACCUGUGAAUUUGUUUCGUGAUUUGGCAUUUGCUAUGUUUAUAGCACUGCUGCUCACUUAUACAUACACUAUAAACCUUUGAAAUGUUAGUUGUGUCGUUGACACUUAAUAUACAACUUUCAACAAUGGAUCUCUUGGCUCUUGCAUCGAUGAAGAACGCAGC
rnacentral:misc_RNA from 1 species